UACGUAGGGGGCAAGCGUUGUCCGGAAUCAUUGGGCGUAAAGAGCGCGUAGGCGGUCCGGUAAGUCCGCUGUGAAAGUCAAGGGCUCAACCCUUGAAUGCCGGUGGAUACUGUCGGGCUAGAGUCCGGAAGAGGCGAGUGGAAUUCCUGGUGUAGCGGUGAAGUGCGCAGAUAUCAGGAGGAACACCAAUGGCGAAGGCGGUUCUCUGGGCAUUACCUGACGCUGAGGAGCGAAAGUGUGGGGAGCGAACAGG
rnacentral:rRNA from 1 species